rnacentral:rRNA from 1 species
GACGAACGCUGGCGGCGUGCCUAAUACAUGCAAGUUGAGCGCUGAAGGUUGGUACUUGUACCAACUGGAUGAGCAGCGAACGGGUGAGUAACGCGUGGGGAAUCUGCCUUUGAGCGGGGGACAACAUUUGGAAACGAAUGCUAUACCGCAUAAAAACUUUAAACACAAGUUUUAAGUUUGAAAGAUGCAAUUGCAUCACUCAAAGAUGAUCCCGCGUUGUAUUAGCUAGUUGGUGAGGUAAAGGCUCACCAAGGCGAUGAUACAUAGCCGACCUGAGAGGGUGAUCGGCCACAUUGGGACUGAGACACGGCCCAAACUCCUACGGGAGGCAGCAGUAGGGAAUCUUCGGCAAUGGACGAAAGUCUGACCGAGCAACGCCGCGUGAGUGAAGAAGGUUUUCGGAUCGUAAAACUCUGUUGGUAGAGAAGAACGUUGGUGAGAGUGGAAAGCUCAUCAAGUGACGGUAACUACCCAGAAAGGGACGGCUAACUACGUG